rnacentral:rRNA from 1 species
AACGAACGCUGGCGGCAGGCUUAACACAUGCAAGUCGAACGGACGUAGCAAUACGUUAGUGGCAGACGGGUGAGUAACGCGUGGGAAUAUGCCCUUUAGUUCGGAAUAACUCAGGGAAACUUGAGCUAAUACCGGAUAAUCCCGAGAGGGGAAAGAUUUAUCGCUGAAGGAGUAGCCCGCGUCUGAUUAGCUAGUUGGUGAGGUAAUGGCUCAACAAGGCGACGAUCAGUAGCUGGUCUGAGAGGAUGAUCAGCCACAAGGGGACUGAGACACGGCCCAGACUCCUACGGGAGGCAGCAGUGGGGAAUAUUGGACAAUGGGGGCAACCCUGAUCCAGCCAUGCCGCGUGAGUGAUGAAGGCCUUAGGGUUGUAAAACUCUUUUGUCCGGGAAGGUAAUGACUGUACCGGAAGAAUAAGCCCCGGCUAACCUCGUGCCAGCAGCCGCAGUAACAC